GGGAGGCUUCGUUGGCUGGUGUGGCCUUAUAACCUAUUUGUAAGCCAAGUUCUUGUCUGCGGGCGUCUGCUUGGCCCUAAAUAUGUGUGUUCUCGAACCUUAGUGACCAAGUGAUCGCCAAGGCCGCAUCAGACAAGGGUGGGGGGGUCGGUGCCUUUGUCUACAACGGAAGAUGGCGACGGGCAGGGUGUGAGAAAAUGGCCGCCAGGGUCACAUGUUUUGCUGAGUAUACCCACCUGAAAUGACUAGGUUAGCUGCUCCCAGCAACCGUCCCGGCUUGCAGGGUCCCAGAGAAACCCUGAGGGAGCCACUCAGAGCUCCUUCUGCCACAGCGCAGAUCCACGGCCAGGCCUACAAACCGAACAACUGGAAGCCUCUCCCACUCAUUUGCCUUCUUCCCCUCCUCCUCCCUCCCUCCCUCAGGCCUCAGAGCAGCGUCGGCUGGAGGGAAUGGAUUUACCUCUGGAGUGGGGGCAAGUAAGGGUUUCUUCAGAAGUCAUCUCAGGGAGCUCCUGACCUGGCUGGAGAAUGAGGUCUCCCCCUUAAAAAAGAGAGUGAACUCCCUGAGACUAGGGGCCAUAUAUCUUCGCGCCCUCAGCAGAACCCAGCACAAGACUGGUACAAGGCACGCUUCAGCAAAUGUUUGUUAAAUGGGUUUUCUAUAUUCUUACUGGGUUUUUGUUGCUGUUGUUGUUCAUUUGAUCUGUCCUGGAAUGAGAAAGUUUUCUUCAGUUUGAUUACUAUGUGUUCGGGGUGUUUCUCCUUGGGUUUAUCCUGCCUGGGACUGUCUGCGCUCCCUGGACCUGGGUGGCUAUUUCCUUUCCCAUGUUAGUAUUAAACAAGACUUCCAGUUCUAUGUUAAACAGUAGUUGGUGAGAGUGCAAAAAAUCAAAUUCCAGUCUGCCUGCCUCCAAGGCCUACAUGUUUGACCACCAUGCCACACUGCUCUAGUGAAGACUCACUCACAGACUGAUGGAAGACUGCUUAACCAAGAAAAAUGAUCUUAUGCUUCAGUGACAAAAUAAAAGCCAUCAGACAUGGGAGAAUUGUUCCAGGACUUUCAUCUUCCCACCACUGAAUCUCUAAACCUCCCAGUAUCUGUGUUCAUCUUUUGUUUCAUUCCUUCCUGUUACAAUGAAGGGCCUGAGGACCUCUCCUUCUCUCUGAGGCCAAGUGCCCCAGACCCCAGCCUCUCCUUUCCCUUCCAUUAUUCCUUUUCUCUUCUGUGUUCCCGUCAGGUCCCUCUCUAUGGUCUCUGAGUCUUUCCCAGCAGCAAACAAGCAUAGUCUAGUAUCUCCCAUCUUAGAAAAAUCAUUCUUUGCCCCUCCUCCUACCAUCACCUUAGCUCUCUGGGCUCUGUUCCCAUUCACAGCCAUGUUUCACAAGGAAAUCGCCUACACACCUAGCUCCACUUCAGCAGGAUGGGGGGCAGUGUUUUAUUCCCUCUGACCUCAGGGAGGGUCGUGUAACAAUCUACCCUCCCACCAGCACUCUAUCCAAUUAUUCCUGCUUUUAAAAUUUUAUUUAUUUUUCAUGAUAAUACAUUAUAAAUUUUAUAAUAUACAUAUCUGUACAGUUUGAAUAAAUUAUAAAACAAAUACCUAUGUACCUGUGCCCAUCACCCAGCUUCAAAAACAAAUCAUUUCUGAAUGACAAAACCCGCCAUGUAGCCCUCCCCAGUCACAUCUCCUUCCCCUCCCUGAGGUAACCAGUGUCAUUUUUCAUGCCUUGCUUUUUUGUAUGGUUUUACAACAUA